rnacentral:rRNA from 1 species
AUUGAACGCUGGCGGAAUGCUUUACACAUGCAAGUCGAACGGUAGAGGGGGCAACCCCUCAAGAGUGGCGAACGGGUGAGUAAUAUAUCGGAACGUGCCCAGUCGUGGGGGAUAACGUAGCGAAAGUUACGCUAAUACCGCAUACGAUCUAAGGAUGAAAGCGGGGAAUCGCAAGACCUCGCGCGAUUGGAGCGGCCGAUAUCAGAUUAGGUAGUUGGUGGGGUAAAGGCUCACCAAGCCAACGAUCUGUAGCUGGUCUGAGAGGACGACCAGCCACACUGGAACUGAGACACGGUCCAGACUCCUACGGGAGGCAGCAGUGGGGAAUUUUGGACAAUGGACGCAAGUCUGAUCCAGCCAUUCCGCGUGCAGGAUGAAGGCCCUCGGGUUGUAAACUGCUUUUGUACGGGACGAAAAGGUCUCUCUUAAUACGGGGGACUCAUGACGGUACCGUAAGAAUAAGCACCGGCUAACUACGUGCCAGCAGCCGCGGUAA